rnacentral:rRNA from 1 species
UGGGGAAUCUUGCGCAAUGGGCGAAAGCCUGACGCAGCGACGCCGCGUGAGUGAUGAAGGCCUUCGGGUUGUAAAGCUCUGUGGGGAGAGAAGAAUAAGUGCGGGCUAAUACCCCGCAUGAUGACGGUAUCUCCUUAGCAAGCACCGGCUAACUCUGUGCCAGCAGCCGCGGUAAGACAGAGGGUGCAAACGUUGUUCGGAAUUACUGGGCGUAAAGCGAGUGUAGGCGGUUUGGUAAGUCGGAUGUGAAAGCCCCGGGCUCAACCCGGGAAGUGCAUUCGAUACUGCCAAGCUAGAGUAUCGGAGAGGUUGGUGGAAUUCUCGGUGUAGAGGUGAAAUUCGUAGAUAUCGGAAGGAACAUCGGUGGCGAAGGCGUCUACCUGGCCUAAUACUGACACUGAGGCACGAAAGCGUGGGGAGCAAACAGGAUUAGAUACCCUGGUAGUCCCUGAGCGGGCUGGCAAGGCGCAU